AUUGAACGCUGGCGGCAGGCUUAACACAUGCAAGUCGAACGAGUGGCGGACGGGUGAGUAAUGCUUGGGAAUCUGGCUUAUGGAGGGGGAUAACUACGGGAAACUGUAGCUAAUAACGCGUACAAUAGGAUGAGGCCAGUUGGGAUUAGGUAGUUGGUGUGGGAAAGGCUCACCAAGCAGACGAUCUCUAGCUGGUCUGAGAGGAUGACCAUCCACCUUGGGACUGAGACACGGCCCAUACUCCUACGUGAGGCAGCAGUGGGGAAUAUUGCGCAAUGGGGGCAACCUGACGCAGCCAUGCCGCGUGGAUGAAGAAGGCCUUCGGUUUGUAAAGUUCUUUCGGUAGCGAGGCGUUAACUACAGAAGAAGCACCGGCUAACUCCGUGCCAGCCGCCGCGGUAAUUC
rnacentral:rRNA from 1 species